rnacentral:rRNA from 1 species
UACGAAGGGGGCUAGCGUUGCUCGGAAUCACUGGGCGUAAAGCGCACGUAGGCGGCUUUCUAAGUCAGAGGUGAAAUCCUGGAGCUCAACUCCAGAACUGCCUUUGAUACUGGAGAGCUUGAGUUCGGGAGAGGUGAGUGGAACUGCGAGUGUAGAGGUGAAAUUCGUAGAUAUUCGCAAGAACACCAGUGGCGAAGGCGGCUCGCUGGACCGGUUCUGACGCUGAGGCGCGAAAGCGUGGGGAGCAAACAGG